rnacentral:rRNA from 1 species
GACGAACCGUCCAAACGUUAUUCGGAAUCACUGGGCUUACAGAGUUCGUAGGCGGUCUGGAAAGUUGGGUGUGAAAUCCCUCGGCUCAACCGAGGAACUGCGCUUGAAACUACCAGACUCGAGGGAGAUAGAGGAAAGCGGAACUGAUGGUGGAGCGGUGAAAUGCGUUGAUAUCAUCAGGAACACCGGUGGCGAAGGCGCUUUCUGGG